rnacentral:rRNA from 1 species
UACGAAGGGGGCUAGCGUUGCUCGGAAUCACUGGGCGUAAAGCGUGUGUAGGUGGUUGUCAUAGUCAGGUGUGAAAGCCUUGAGCUCAACUCAAGAAAUGCACUUGAUACUGGGCAACUAGAGGACCGGAGAGGAUAGUGGAAUUCCCAGUGUAGUGGUGAAAUACGUAGAGAUUGGGAAGAACACCAGUGGCGAAGGCGGCUAUCUGGACGGUUUCUGACACUAAGACACGAAAGCGUGGGGAGCAAACAGG